rnacentral:rRNA from 1 species
GACGAACGCUGGCGGCGUGCUUAACACAUGCAAGUCGAACGGAAAGGCCCUGCUUUUGUGGGGUGCUCGAGUGGCGAACGGGUGAGUAACACGUGAGUAACCUGCCCUUGACUUUGGGAUACUUUCAGGAAACUGGGGCUACUACCGGAUAGGAGCUCCUGCUGCAUGGUGUGGGUUGGAAAGUUUCUGCGGUUGGGGAUGGACUCGCGGCUUAUCAGCUUGUUGGUGGGGUAGUGGUUUACCAAGGCUUUGACGGGUAGCCGGCCUGAGAGGGUGACCGGCCACAUUGGAUCUGAGAUGCGGCACAGACUCCUACGGGAGGCAGCGGUGGAGAAUAUAGCACGAUGGGAGGAAGCCAGAUGCAGCGACGCCGCGUGCGGGAUGACGGCCUUCGGGUUGUAAACCACUUUCGCCUGUGACGAGGCGUGAGUGACGGUAAUGGGUAAAGAAGCACCGGCUAACUACGUG